GAUGAAGAACGCAGUGAAAUGCGAUACGUAAUGUGAAUUGCAGAAUUCAGUGAAUCAUCGAAUCUUUGAACGCAUAUUGCGCUCUCUGGUAUUCCGGAGAGCAUGCUUGUUUGAGUAUCAGUAAACACCUCAACUUCCAUAUCUUUUUUGAAAUGGGAGUUGGACUUGAGUGAUCCCAACGCUUUUCCUCACCGAAAAGUGGCGGGUUACUUGAAAUGCAGGUGGAGCUGGACUUUUCUCUGAGCUAUAAGCAUAUCUAUUUAGUCUGCCUAAAAAACAGAUUAUUACCUUUGCUGCAGCUAACAUAAAGGAGAUUAGUUCUUGUGCUGACUGAUGCAGGAUUCACAAAGACAGGCUUCGGCCGACUUUGUAAACUCGAUCUCAAAUCAAGUAAGACUACCCGCUGAACUUAAGCAUAUCAAUAAGCGGAGGA
rnacentral:misc_RNA from 1 species